rnacentral:rRNA from 1 species
GAUGAACGCUGGCGGCGUGCCUAAUACAUGCAAGUCGAGCGAACGGACGAGAAGCUUGCUUUUCUGAUGUUAGCGGCGGACGGGUGAGUAACACGUGGAUAACCUACCUAUAAGACUGGGAUAACUUCGGGAAACCGGAGCUAAUACCGGAUAAUAUUUUGAACCGCAUGGUUCAAAAGUGAAAGACGGUCUUGCUGUCACUUAUAGAUGGAUCCGCGCUGCAUUGGCUAGUUGGUAAGGUAACGGCUUACCAAGGCAACGAUGCAUAGCAGACCUGAGAGGGUGAUCGGCCACACUGGAACUGAGACACGGUCCAGACUCCUACGGGAGGCAGCAGUAGGGAAUCUUCCGCAAAGGGCGAAAGCCUGACGGAGCAACGCCGCGUGAGUGAUGAAGGUCUUCGGAUCGUAAAACUCUGUUAUUAGGGAAGAACAUAUGUGUAAGUAACUGUGCACAUCUUGACGGUACCUAAUCAGAAAGCCACGGCUAACUACGUG